GCCGGAAAAAGAUUUCUGCCUUUCCUGUUUGCCCAUGACCGCACAGAUACUGAAUCAUAGAGUUAUAAGCACCAGACCCCAUUUCCAAAGUAAAAAUAAUUUCUUUCUCAAUUAACUUAUCCAACAACUUUACUGCCCGAUCAUACUCCUCAGCCUCACAAAAAUUUUCGAUCAAGACACCAUAAUGGCCAGCCUCUGUCGGUAUGCUCAAUCGUAUCAUUGCCUUCAGCACAUCCUCAGCAGCUCUCAAAUCUCCAGCCUUGCACUGGCUAGAUAACAAACUUAUAAAGAUCGAAUUAUCUUUCGGAGCAAGAUGCACCCCUACCAUCUCCUUCAAAAUCUCUUUUGCCUCUGUCAUUUUCCCAGCAUUACAAAGCCCCGGCAACAAACUCGAAUAUGUGUGAGCAUUAGGCUUAAUACCAAAAGACUUCAUCUCCUCAAGCAAUCNNNNAUCUACAGAAACAUACCCUUUAAUCAUAGUCGUAUAACUAAUAACUGUAGGAGCUAUGUUUUUCCCCUUCAUCUCUACAAACANNNNNCCUCCUCCAUCUUUCUAAAUCUAUAAUACCCAUUGAUCAUCGUAUUAUAAGUAACCACAUCAGGGGAUAUCCCUCUAGUCUUCAUAUCCUCAUAAAACCUCAUUGCUG
rnacentral:misc_RNA from 1 species